AUGGCUUGCUUCGAAUCUGCUCGUCGUCACGCAGUCCCGGUGCCUCUGGCCAUGGAGCAAGGGAGUCUGGUAAAGGAGCUAUUUUACCAAGGCAACGGGCCUCCGGGGCUCGGAGAGGCCAGGAUCCUCCUUCGAUCUAAGCAAACACAUUCCACCUUCCAGAUCAAGUCAGCAGAACAGGAACGUGUACCUGUACUUCUACUGAAACUUAACGACACUGCUCCUCAAAGAAAGACGGUUAUUAUACUACUGCACAACUCUUACAAAUGCAAGGAAUGGUUGUGUCCACUGCUUCAGGCACUGAACUCAUCUUGGAGGAGUGGGAAAACUAUACCUUUCAUUUUUACACGGUACCAUACAUUACUUCCACUUGUUAAAAUUAUUAUUUUUAUCAUCCUUAAAUUGUGCUGUUCAAUUUGUCCAUCAAAUAUAGUUUUUAAUAAAUGGAUAGUUAUGUACUCAAAGAAUAUGAGACCAAAAAUAUGUAAGAUGUUCCUUUAG
rnacentral:rRNA from 1 species